rnacentral:snRNA from 1 species
AAGAAGAGUGAAGUGCUUAUUUCAUUCUUGGAAUGAUACAGAGAUUAGCACAGCUCCUGCACAAAGAUGACACACAAAUUUGUGAAGUGUUCCCUAGUUUU